rnacentral:rRNA from 1 species
UACGGAGGAUGCAAGCGUUAUCCGGAAUGAUUGGGCGUAAAGCGUCCGCAGGUGGCUAUGUAAGUCUGCUGUUAAAGAGUGAGGCUCAACCUCAUAAGAGCAGUGGAAACUACAUGGCUAGAGUGCGUUCGGGGCAGAGGGAAUUCCUGGUGUAGCGGUGAAAUGCGUAGAGAUCAGGAAGAACACCCGUGGCGAAGGCGGCUCUCUGGGACGGUACUGACGCUGAGACGCGAAAGCGUGGGGAGCGAACAGG